GGGGGCGUAGCUCAGUUGGCAGAGCAACGGACUUUUAAUCCGUAGGUCACAGGUUCGAACCCUGUCGCCCUCA
rnacentral:tRNA from 1 species